UGGAAGUUGUUCUGUAGAGUAUGGAGA
rnacentral:piRNA from 1 species